rnacentral:rRNA from 1 species
GACGAACCGUGCGAACGUUAUUCGGAAUCACUGGGCUUAAAGCGUGCGUAGGUGGUUCGUUAAGUCUGUCGUGAAAGCCCCGGGCUCAACCUGGGAAUGGCGAUGGAUACUGGCGGGCUAGAGUGCGGUAGAGGAGAGUGGAAUUCCCGGUGUAGCAGUGAAAUGCGUAGAGAUCGGGAGGAACAUCAGUUGCGAAGGCGGCUCUCUGGACCAGCACUGACACUGAGGCACGAAAGCGUGGGGAGCAAACAGG